CCUACGGGUGGCUGCAGUAGGGAAUAUUGGUUAAUGGGCGAAAGCCUGACCCAGCAACGCCGCGUGUGCGAUGAAGGCCUUCGGGUUGUAAAGCGCUUUUGAGUGGGAUGAGGAAGGACAGUACCACUCGAAUAAGUCUCGGCUAACUACGUGCCAGCAGCCGCGGUAACACGUAGGAGACGAGCGUUAUCCGGAUUUACUGGGUGUAAAGCGCGUGCAGGCGGUAUGGAAAGUUGGAUGUGAAAGCUCCCGGCUUAACUGGGAGAGGUCGUUCAAAACUACCAGACUAGAGUACAGCAGAGGGGAGUGGAAUUCCGAGUGUAGCGGUAAAAUGCAUAGAUAUUCGGAAGAACACCAGUGGCGAAGGCGGCUCCCUGGGCUGAAACUGACGCUCAGACGCGAAAGCUAGGGUAGCGAACGGGAUUAGAUACCCGGGUAGUC
rnacentral:rRNA from 1 species